rnacentral:lncRNA from 1 species
CUGUGUUUAGUUUCCGUAUAUUAAAUAAAAAGACUCCUCCCAGUUAGUAACUAAAAUGAGGCAGACUGGAAACUGGAUGCUCAGGCAGCAGCUUUCAAAGCGUUUCCAAAGAUUAGAGUCUUGUCUCGUCACGGAAUGAAUUCAGAAAUGAGAUAGAAACUGAGAAAAGUGAGGAUUUACUUAAGUGAGAAAUACAGCUCUUAAAGAGAGGUGGGCAGAGAGGCAGCAGCUGCCCUGUGUUUUUCGGGCACACCAGUUAUAAGGGUUAUCCAGUUGUUUGGAUGGGAUAUUCACUGGGAAGGUGGGGUUUGGGGGUCGUAUUCCUUCAUUUUCAUCCCAGCUCCACCUUCCCAAAGGGAGGAGGAGUUUUUGUCCUUAUUUAGUUUAGUUUUUAUUGGAAGUGUCAUGACAUUAAUGGAUGAUGAGUACUUAUUAUCUGCACAGCUAAUUUUAUUAUAAUUUUGUUAUAAUGAUGUAAUGAGCAACAAGUUAUAUUUGGGUACUGGAAAUUCAUGCCCUUUCUCACAUUUCUUCAUCUGCCUCCAGGGCACUUAUCACCCCAAAAUGUGUGGUUUCCUGUCGGUCUGGAGGUUCUGGCUUUUCUUUGUCUGACCAUGGACCCCGCUGUUUGCCUGAUGAGUGGUUUCCUGCCAUCUGGCCCCGUGCCGCCUUCUCUGCUCCUACCUAUCUCUCUGCUGUAACAGAAGCACACAAAUAUACCUCUUUCAAUGGAAGACUGAGAGAGAAGCAUUUCUGUCUGCUGCCUCUGUGCUGUGCCCCAGGGGAAAAGCUAGUUAAGAACUAUUACUGUUAAUGUCUCAGGUCCCACUCUACUGCAAGCCCUGCUGCCAUGAGCACCCCACUAUCAAGAGGUGUCUCCCUUAGGGGCGGCCAAAAAACUUGGGUGCCGAAAACUCAUGCACAAGCUCCUUUAUAGGAGAUACUAGUGAUCAGAGUGGGGCAUAGGAAGAGUACAGAGAUGGUGACUGCCCCCCUCCCCAUCUCUGGAAAGAACUGCUGGCCCCUGAAUGUAUGUUAAAUUAGAAGCCUUCCUCUUGGACUACAGCUAUUAGGCCUCUUUCAUGGAAUGACUGGGUAUUUCUUUCUACUGCUUCUCUGCUGUGCCCUGAGGGUAUAGGUCUAGGUUUUUUUUUUUUUUUUUCUUCCCCAGAGUCCUAAGGGAACCUACAAACAUAUAGCCAUAGUGGCCAACAGAGAUAGGCAAUCAAGGGAUGUCCCCUGGGUGUGCAGUUUUUGUGUGUACUAUGGACCUUAAACAUAACUAAUGGCAAUUAUUAAGCAAAGUUGAGUUUAUUUUGGAAUAACAGGAAUUGCAGUUUGGGACAAACAAUGGCGAACCAUAGACAAGUUGAAAUAAAGGGGAGGCUAGGUUCUGAAAAUAAAUUGGAAGGGUUAUUUUGAACAAAAUGUUGUGCUCUGUGCAUGCCUGUCAGAAAGGAAUUCCUGGACUCAUAUCUGGGUGUAAAGAAAGAAGAGUUUGUUGAGCAUGACGAGGUGGAGAGAAAGUAGAGUUUACAGAGAUAAGAGAUGCUGCACGCACAGUGGGAUGACUUCCUGACAAUCAGGGAAAGCCAACAACUAGUGUGUGGUCACGUCUGUUUUUAUAACUGGGGCAGAAGAGAGGUCUUGUGAUACACCUGCUGGUCGGUUGGGGAAAGAGGGGUCUUAGGAUAUAUACUUGCUGGUCACUUGGGGCCAUAUAAGGCCCUAUGGGGUGGUGUGAGGAGUGGGCCACAUACCUUUCCUACGGGGGUAGGAAUGAGUAGGCCAGGUUGAAGGUGGGGAAAGGGCACUACAAUGAGAUAGCGGGGCAAUGAUAAGGGUUUCGUAAUUCUUGUCUUGGCCAAAAGCUUUGAGUUCAAACUUCUUGAAGUCAAACACAAAAGUUCAUUGGAGAACUAGAAGCUCAGGGUGGAGAUCUGGAGUGAGGCACUCUGCUCUACGAAAACUGGAAGAACAAGUCUUCAGAUAGAUAUUUUUAGAAGAUGUUAUGAGUCCACUCCUUGCACCUCCUCAUAUUGAGGAAAACACUAAAAUCUUUCAUGAUGUCUGCUCCUCAUGCUAAGAGUAACCUUCAUGAGACCAGCAGCAAACUUGGGUGAAAUGCGGGCAUGGCUGCAUGCACCUCCCCCUUCACUUCUAUCUCAUAUAUCCUGACCCUUCCCCCCUCCUCUUUGGGGUGGUAUUUCAGAGCUGUCUGUAAUGCUACUUUUCUGGCUGCAAUUAAUUCAACAAAACAAAAAGAUGUCAGAGUCAUCUGUGCGUGCAGCCACUCCCAAGGGUGAGCCAGUGAGCCCUGAGGGAACUCAGGAAGGAAGUGAAGAAUACUGGCCCUGACAGCUGAGGUGCAUAUCAAAGGAGUGAUUCCGGUAAGCCCAGACCUUUGCAUCUUCCCAUAGAAAUAUGCAAAACUCCUUGAGAUAACUGGUUUUUGGUAAUCUUUUGUUCCUACGCCCUGCCCUAUGUUGAAAAAACUCCCAUGUAUCCUAGCUCCUGGCUUGCUGCCUCCUCGGAGAAUUUUUCGCAGAGCUACCUGAGAUGCUGUCUCCUGGGCUUAAGUCCACACUUUGCCCCAAAUAAAACUUAACUCUCAGCUUUCAGGUUGUGCAUUUUUUAAAGUCAACCCUCUUAAUGAGGAAUGCAGAAAUCUUCUCCCUGCUGGCUGAGUGAGUCGAGGUGAGGAAUACAUGUGUGAACUCUGCCUUUGUGGCUUCCUAACUGCACUCUAAAUCAAGUUUCCUGUAUUCAUGUUCACAGGACAUGUGUUUUCAACUCUGGGAAAAGACCAAGAAGUGUAAUUGCUGGAUCAUGUGACAAAAGUAAGUUCGUUUUUUUAGGAAACUUCUGCACUGCUUUCCAAAGUGGCUAUUCAAUUUCUAAUAGUCCCACAAGUAAAAAGAGUUCCUAUGGCUCAACAUCCU